ACUCCUAACAAAUCUCCAAGAUCUAACAAUCAUUGGCUGUCCACAAUUAAAGAAGCGAUGCAAGAAGGAGAGAGGCGAGGAUUGGCACUACAUAGCACACAUCCCAUAUAUCGACAUUCCACAUAUCGAAUCCGAAUCCGAAUCCGAAUCCGAAUCGUAGAGUGAAGGCGAAGGGUGUAGACGUCUGUUGGGGGUUGAAGAGGAGAUCAGCAUAACGCUCUCCUUCUUACCUAUUCCUCCCUCUGAGUGCGAUGGAUAUACACAUGGGGUAAUAUCAAACACUGUAUAGCUGGUAAUAACUCAAGACGAAUACAACCUCAAAUACUUGCAUGGUUGAAGUUACACUGCAGAUGAUCAAUUCAAAUCUAAGAUCAUUUAAACGACAUCAUUUCAUUGAGCAAUGUGAGUAAUACAUGCACAAGCGAGAUGGAGAAGGGGCCUAGCAGCAUAUGUGUGCCAACAUGGUACACUUGUGGGAGAUUGAGUUAGACGGUUGGUUAUUGGAACGAAAGUCAGGCUGGACUGCUUGUCAGUCUUUUGGGAUUAGAGGCAUGCUUAAGGAUGGAAGUGAUCAGUGAGGGAGGAAUCCUCAAAGAGAGCAAAUUCUUGGGUAUCCGAGCCCGUGUGAAGACUUUUGUGAACUGGCAGCAGAUAGAGACUUUAUAAUGCAAUCACUUGGGCCUUUGGAAUCUAUGUUCCUGCUUCAAAGCCGUGCUCUAUUUUGAAUGAGUUAAGAAUAUUUAAACACCAUCAUUUCACCGAGGAAUGCGAGUGGGACUCGUGCAAAUGAGAUAGAGAAGGGGCUUAGCAGCACAUGUGCCAACAUGGUGCACUUGUGGGAGACUGUGUUAGGCAACUAGUGAAUUUUGAACCAAAAAUCAGGCCAAUCUGCUUAUUAGGAUUGGAGGCAUAUUUAAGGAUGGAAGUGGUUAGUGGGGGAGUGGAUCAUCAAAGAGUGCGGAAUUCUUGGCUAUUAGAACUGGUGUGGAGAUUUUCAUGGUGGACGAAGAUUUUAUAAUGCAAUCGCUUUGGCCUCAGAAAAGUGUAUUCCUGUUUCAAAGUUGAGUGUUAUUUUGAAUAAGGUUGAAAUCUUGUAUCUUGGAAAUCUCACAUGUAGAUGUUGAUAGAUGUCUUAAAAUCUGUAAAUUCAACAAUCUAUCGAUGACAUCGAAGAAGGUUCGAUGCCAUUGAAGUCUCGUCGAAGGUGCCAUUGAACGUAUGCGCAGAUUUACGCAGAGUUGUGUAUCUGCAGGAAUCUGCGAGAUUUGUUUUUUAUUUUGAUUGCGAUUCUCGAGGUUAUAUAUAGGAGUGAAAUCGGAAUCUAAGGGUAUUCUAAGGCUUUCUAAUUCGUUCCUAGGGUUUCAAAAGGCUUGUAAGGGAGAUUCGAGGCUUGUUCGAAUCGGGUAUUCUUUCUAUCUCUUGUAAUUUCUGAUUUCAUAGUGAUUACUGUCGCUUUGUGCCGUGGUUUUUUCCCGAAAGGGUUUUUC